AACGCGAAGAACCUUACCUGGGCUCGAACGGCUUUGGAACAUCUUUGGAAACAGAGACUUCUCGCAAGAGACCGGAGUCGAGGUGCUGCAUGGCUGUCGUCAGCUCGUGUCGUGAGAUGUUGGGUUAAGUCCCGCAACGAGCGCAACCCUUGUCCUGUGUUGCCACUCCCGUAAGGGAAGCACUCUCAGGAGACCGCCAGCGAUAAGUUGGAGGAAGGUGGGGAUGAUGUCAAGUCAUCAUGGCCUUUAUGUCCAGGGCUACACACGUGCUACAAUGGACGGUACAAAGCGCUGCAAACCCGCGAGGGGGAGCCAAUCGCAAAAAACCGUUCUCAGUUCGGAUCGCAGGCUGCAACUCGCCUGCGUGAAGCUGGAAUCGCUAGUAAUGGCGUAUCAGAACGAUGCCGUGAAUACGUUCCCGGGCCUUGUACACACCGUAGUAC
rnacentral:rRNA from 1 species